rnacentral:rRNA from 1 species
UACAGGGGGCUCGAGCGUUAGUCGGAAUCACUGGGCUUAAAGGGUGCGUAGGCGGCUUGUCAAGUGUUUUGUGAAAUCCCACAGCUCAACUGUGGAACAGCAGGGCAAACUGACAAGCUUGAGGCAGGUAGGGGCCGGAAGAACAGUUGGUGGAGCGGUGAAAUGCGUAGAUAUCAACUGGAAUGCCGAUGGGGAAGCCGUCCGGCUGGGCCUGUCCUGACGCUGAGGCACGAAAGCGUGGGGAUCAAACAGG